ensembl:lncRNA
AAAAAGUUGUAAUAGAGUAAAGUUGUAAUAGUAAAAAGUUGUAAUAGAGUAAAGGUGUAAUAGUAAAAAGUUGUAAUAGAGUAAAGUUGUAAUAGAGUAAAGUUGUAAUAGUAAAAAGUUGUAAUAGAGUAAAGUUGUAAUAUAGUAAAGUUGUAAUACAGUAAAGUUGUAAUAGAGUAAAGUUGUAAUAGUAAAAAGUUGUAAUAGAGUAAAGUUGUAAUAGUAAAAAGUUGUAAUAGUAAAAAGUUGGAAUAGAGUAAAGUUGUAAUAUAGUAAAGUUGUAAUAGAGAAAAGUUGUAAUAGUAAAAAGUUGUAAUAAAGUAAAGUUGUAACAGAGUAAAGUUGUAAUAGAGAAAAGAUGUAAUAGUAAAAAGUUGUAAUAGAGUAAAGUUGUAAUAGAGUAAAGUUGUAAUAGAGUAAAGUUGUAAUAGUAAAAAGUUGUAAUAGAGAAAAGUUGUAAUAUAAAACAGUUGUAAUAGAGUAAAGUUGUAAUAGUAAAACGUUGUAAUAGAGUAAAGUUGGAAUAUAUUAAAGUUGUAAUAGAGUAAAGUUGUAAUCGAGAAAAGUUGUAAUAGUAAAAAGCUGUAAUAGAGUAAAGUUGUAAUAGUAAAAAGUUGUAAUAGAGUAAAGUUGUAAUAGUAAAAAGUUGUAAUAGAGUAAAGUUGUAAUAGUAAAAAGUUGUAAUAGAGUAAAGUUGUAAUAGUAAAAAGUUGUAAUAGAGUAAAGUUGUAAUAGUAAAAAGUUGUAAUAGAGUAAAGUUGUAAUAGUAAAAAGUUGUAAUAGUAAAAAGUUGUAAUAGAGUAAAGUUGUAAUAUAGUAAAGUUGUAAUACAGUAAAUUUGUAAUAGAGUAAAGUUGUAAUAGUAAAAAGUUGUAAUAGAGUAAAGUUGUAAUAGUAAAAAGUUGUAAUAGUAAAAAGUUGGAAUAG